rnacentral:rRNA from 1 species
AUUGAACGCUGGCGGCAGGCCUAACACAUGCAAGUCGAGCGGAUGACGGGAGCCUGCUCCUUGAUUCAGCGGCGGACGGGUGAGUAAUGCCUAGGAAUCUGCCUGGUAGUGGGGGACAACGUUUCGAAAGGAACGCUACUACCGCAUACGUCCUACGGGCGAAAGCAGGGGACCUUCGGGCCUUGCGCUAUCAGAUGAGCCUAGGUCGGAUUAGCUAGUUGGUGGGGUAAUGGCUCACCAAGGCGACGAUCCGUAACUGGUCGGAGAGGAUGAUCAGUCACACUGGAACUGAGACACGGGCCAGACUCCUACGGGAGGCAGCAGUGGGGAAUAUUGGACAAUGGGCGAAGGCCUGAUCCAGCCAUGCCGCGUGUGUGAAGAAGGUCUUCGGAUUGUAAAGCACUUUAAGUUGGGAGGAAGGGCAGUAAGCUAAUACCUUGCUGUUUUGACGUUACCGACAGAAUAAGCACCGGCUAACUCUGUGCCAGCAGCCGCCGUAA